rnacentral:lncRNA from 1 species
UUAUAACCAGGGGAAAGAGACAGGCUUAAAGUAGGAAUAAGGAGUACCAUAUCAUUGUCUGUUCCUCGUUAUCCCCAUGUGACUGAAGAUUUGCCCCCUAAAAUGUUAUGGCUGACUCAAAAGGCAGCCAAAGCCUAUCUUGUCCUUCCAAGUGCUUGGUACUGCUUCUCCUAGACUCCUUGCUGCUCCUAUCCCCUUCUCCGUUCUUAAGAAAUUAAUUAUAAGCUUAAACUAGCUCCUGUUUCCAGACUCCAAAUUAAAAUCCAAAGUGACUAGGCUCAGCAUGGAGGAAGAGCAGGUAAGCUGCUCUUUCCCUUUGAAGCCUUGCCCUUCACACUCAUUUCACUGUUCUCACAGCUCUCUUCCUUCUGGGGAGAAGUCCUCAGACACUGCUAGGAGCCCCUGAGGAGAGCAAACCUCCCAGUGUCACCCUGAGCAUCCAGAAGGGAAGAGUGGCACUGGCUCUGGCCAGCAGUGAGGCCUUGGGUGAGGUGAGCAGGACACACUCCUGCAGGCCACAUGACAUGGGCAGCAGAAGUAAGGACAAAAGGCAAGGCCCCUGGGGGAUGUUGUAUGUCAGCAUGCUGGGAAGCUCACCAUCACCCUUCCAUGGCCAACACCAUCACAAUUACAUGUUCCCUGUGCACUCAGCGUUACAUCGGCCAGCAUAAGGCAAGAUCAAGACUCCAUCUUGUUUGAUCAUUUACCUGAAAACUCAAGAAGGAAAAUAAAGGAAAGGAGAGGAAAAGGAAAAGAAAGGAGAAAAGGAAAAGGAAAAGGAAAAGGAAAAGGAAAAGGAAAAGGAAAAGGAAAAGGGAAGGCAGAAGAUACACAAUUACUAAGGCAUGUGCAGUGGUGUGAAGAGUCACUUUGCAGCGGGAACAAAGGAUGCUUCUUACUUUGGAAAGCAGCAGAUUAGCUCCCCAUGGGACAUUGUUCCCCAGAAGAACAAAGAGGGAACCCUUCUGAACUGAAGGAUUGAUGUAUU